AUAAUCUGGCAAGGGAGACACCAUGAUCAAGCAGGUGAUUGUCCCAGGGUGAGGCCCAUACCCUGCACUCAUUGUGUACUGAGCCCUGUGAUUUUCCCAAAUGUGGGAAACUCGACUGCUACAGC
ensembl:snRNA U1 U1 spliceosomal RNA